rnacentral:tRNA from 1 species
GGUCCUAUAGCUCAGUCGGUUAGAGCAACUGACUCAUAAUCAGUAGGUGCUUGGUUCGAUCCCAAGUGGGACCACAA